rnacentral:rRNA from 1 species
UACGUAGGGUGCAAGCGUUGUCCGGAAUGAUUGGGCGUAAAGCGUCCGCAGGUGGCAAUGUAAGUCUGCUGUUAAAGCGUCUAGCUCAACUAGAUACAAGCAGUGGAAACUACAUCGCUAGAGUGCGUUCGGGGCAGAGGGAAUUCCUGGUGUAGCGGUGAAAUGCGUAGAGAUCAGGAAGAACACCGGUGGCGAAGGCGCUCUGCUAGGCCGCAACUGACACUGAGGGACGAAAGCUAGGGGAGCGAAUGGG